GANUUCAACGGCCGNCGGUACUCUAACCGUGCGAAGGUAGCACAAUAACUUGUUCUUUAAAUAAGGACUAGAAUCAAUGGCUUCACGAGGGUUGUACUGUCUCCUUUUUCCAAUCAGUGAAACUGAUCUCCCCGUGAAGAAGCGGGGAUAUUUUUAUAAGACGAGAAGACCCCAUGGAGCUUUAANACUUAAUAGAUAACCUCUGCAAAUCACNNNNAUGGUAAUUUUGGNNNNCUUUUANNUCUAUUAGUUUUGGGUUGGGGUGACCACGGAGAAUAACCUAGCCUCCGCAAUGAAAAGANAUAAUAUCNCUAAUCUAAGAGGGACACCUCUAAGAAUUAAUAAAUUAACAUAUACUGAUCCNAAUAUUUAUAUUUGAUCAAUGAACCAAGUUACCCUGGGGAUAACAGCGCAAUCCAUUUCAAGAGUUCCUAUCGACAAGUGGGUUUACGACCUCGAUGUUGGAUCAGGGUAUCCCGGUGGUGCAGCC
rnacentral:rRNA from 1 species